GGCUAUUGUGGCUUUAGUCUACAAUGUAUUGAAGGCAUUUAUGGAAAUGAACAGCACCAUGUUUGACGAGCUGACAGCCACUUACAAGUCAGAUCGUCAGCGUGAGAAGAAGAAAGAGAAAGAACGUGAAGAACUGUGGAAAAAACUGGAGGAUUUGGAAUUAAAGAGAGGUCUUAGACGUGAUGGAAUAAUUCCAACUUAACAGAAAAACAAAACAGCAUUAUUAACCUGUGGAGUCACACAUUUAUGUAGUAGAAGAUGGAGCAACAGUUUUCUGUAUUGUGCAACUUUACAGUAGAUUUCACAUUUGUUUCAUUAUUACAACAGCACUGUAUAUACCUGUCUCUAAGUAAAGGAAAAAAAUAAGGACUUUAAUCCAAAGUUUGGACAGCAGAUGGACUUCUCAGAACUUUGCAAACAUAAUCAUUGUUUUAACCCUUCUUUAAAACCAGUCUUCAAAGAUCUGUUGAUGAAAAUUGCAAUUGUCAAAUUCCAUUGUCAGGACCUGUUCCUUAUUUAUCGUUAGCAGAGAGUAUAAUACAACUUUCAAAUGUGAACAAUCUUAAAAUUUAGCUUGUCUUUCUGCUAAACUGUUAAGUGUAUUUAUAGUAAAAGAGAAAAAAGACUGUCAUUUCCUUAUGAGUUUGUGUAACAUCCUCCUUCUCUGGAUAACUUUACUGUAAUUUGACUUUUUUUUCCUUUUGCACAUCUUCAUAAGUUGAAUGUCCAUUUGGAUCAGGGCCAUGAAAAACAUAGGUCCUGAAUAAAAGUUUUGUUUACUGGUGUGAGCAUUUUUUUAGUACCAGGCCGUCUCUGGUGCUUCCUUAAUUUGAACAUUAGGAGUUAAAAAAAACAAGUAGGUGAUAAACAUAGUAGGAAAGGGAGCUUUGGAUUCAUGCACCUAUUUAUUGCAAAUCCAAAUUAGUGUCCACAAUCCUUGAAAAAUGGGCAGUGGUAACACCUUGGACUUCAGUACCUAACCAGUAUUAGUGAGACAGCACUGGACACACAGGCCGGAGUUGUUUUAGAAAUACUAAUGGCUAAAUUAUUACCGUAUGUUUUUAUUGGACCACUUGAAAGAAAAAAGACAAACGCUAAACAGUGCAAGCAUGAAAUUGAUCUCCGGUGGUCAUGGAUCUGAUCGGGAAUUGAGUUGAGAUAGCAGUUUGAACUGUUUGGAGUUGUUGCCUUACUUUUUAAUAUGUAUUUAUAAAGUGUUCCAGCAAAAGAGGAUGUAGCCUCUAAGAAACAUACUUUAGUGUUUUUGUGGUUCUAGUACUAUUACUCAUCAUAGUACCAGCCCUAUGGUCUUAGCUGGAAAGGAUUCUGGAUAAUAUACUUCUGCAUUCUCAUCUGGAUGCUCAUUCCUAACUACUGUAUUUGUUACCAAAUGUGGUUCUACAAAUGCUACUGAAAAAAAAAAAUUCUGGAAAUCCUAAUGUUCUGAGUAUUAAUAAUAAAGUUUAAAAUGCUUUUAUAUCAAA